AUCACUGCUGGGUUGCUUCCUGGUUAAAGGGCCAGAAGGUGAAGGAGAUGGGCUUUUCAGGCAUCAGAAUGAGGUUGAAUGUGGUGCCCACAUCGCUGAGGAAGAUGGUCAUCUCUAGCUCAGCGAUCCGCCGUCCCAGACACUGCCGCACACCCCAGCCAAAGCCCAAGUUCCGGAAGUAGGUGAUGUUCUUGUCUUUG
rnacentral:lncRNA from 1 species